GACGAACGCUGGCGGCGUGCUUAACACAUGCAAGUCGAGCGGAAAGGCCCUUUCGGGGGUACUCGAGCGGCGAACGGGUGAGUAACACGUGAGUAAUCUGCCCUUGGCUUCGGGAUAACUACCGGAAACGGUGGCUAAUACCGGAUAUGACACCUUCUGGCAUCGGGGGGUGUGGAAAGUUUUUCGGCCAGGGAUGUGCUCGCGGCCUAUCAGCUUGUUGGUGGGGUAAUGGCCUACCAAGGCUUCGACGGGUAGCCGGCCUGAGAGGGUGACCGGCCACACUGGGACUGAGACACGGCCCAGACUCCUACGGGAGGCAGCAGUGGGGAAUAUUGGACAAUGGGCGGAAGCCUGAUCCAGCAACGCCGCGUGAGGGAUGACGGCC
rnacentral:rRNA from 1 species